rnacentral:rRNA from 1 species
CCGAAACCCUAGCCCCCAAAUCCCCCAUCUCCCUCUCCCUCUCAGAUUCGUUCUGGCCCCUCUUCUCGAUCUGGAGGAAACCGUCGCCGCCGUCGCCAUGGGUUCGCCGCCCGCAUAGCCACCGAGCCCCCCGCACAAUCCACCGCGUCCACCGGCCCCGCCGUCGACUCCCUCGUCAUCGGCAACAGCGUGUUGGAGUUGGGAGCCCCUGCAUCGCCCUCGACGCCGCCCUCUUCUUCCUCGGGUCGCCGGCAAAUCUCGGUGAUUCCGGCGAGCCUGCAGCUACUAAGCCGUCACCGGGCCCCCUUGCGCCUCCCCAACCCCGAGGCCGAUGAUGCCCCGGUGAUCGACUACGUCGACGACGACCCUUCUUCCCUUUCACCGAAGCUUCCAG